rnacentral:rRNA from 1 species
AUUGAACGCUGGCGGCAUGCCUAAUACAUGCAAGUCGAGCGGAGUGGCGGACGGGCGAGUAAUUCCCACGAAUCUGCCUUGUAGCGGGGGAUAACGUCCGUAAACGGGCGCUAAUAUCGCACACUAUUUGAUUAGCCUAGGUCGGAUGAGCUAGUUGGUGGGGUAAAGGCCUACAAAGACGACGAUCCGUAACUGGUUUGAGAGGAUGAUCGGUCACACUGGAACUGAGACACGGUCAAGACUCCUACGGAAGGCAGCAGUGGGGAAUAUUGGACAAUGGGCGAAAGCCUGAUCAAGCCAUGCCGCGUGUGUGAGGAAGGUCUUCGGAUGGAAAAGCACUUUAAUUUGGGAGGCGGUACCUACAGAGUAAGCACCGGCUAACUACGUGCCAGCAGCCGCGGUAAUAC